rnacentral:rRNA from 1 species
ACGUAGGGUGCGAGCGUUAAUCGGAAUUACUGGGCGUAAAGCGUGCGCAGGCGGUUUGCUAAGCAAGGCGUGAAAUCCCCGGGCUUAACCUGGGAAUGGCGCUUUGGACUGGCAGGCUAGAGUGCGUCAGAGGGGGGUGGAAUUCCACGUGUAGCAGUGAAAUGCGUAGAGAUGUGGAGGAACACCGAUGGCGAAGGCAGCCCCCUGGGUCGAUACUGACGCUCAUGCAUGAAAGCGUGGGGAACAAACAG